UAUAUAUGUAUAGUCCAGGUGCAAUCUCACGGAUAGACUUCGAAGGCAACACGAGCUCCAAAUUCCUUCAGGAUCUUGUAUUCGCUGAACCCUGCUUUGGUGAAGAGCUCGCUCCAUUCUUUUUCAUCUCUCUGCCGUCCUUUUGUCAUGGUCAUCAUGCCGAUGUCCAUCAGGAGGUGAGUUUCCAGCAUAGGCCCAGAGUGGUCAAUCAUAAUAUCACCGAUUAUAACUUUCCCGCCAUCCUUCCGUGAAGGAAUCGCCUUCCGGCAUUGAGCCAGGAGCUUGACGCACUCCUCAUCGGUCAGGUGGUGCAGCACAAGCUAAUUAUAUGCAAUGAUUAAUUCGUGACUGAUGAGUCGACCAUGAAGUUAAUUAAUUUGAGCAGGGUUAUUACAUUACCUUUAGCACGACAGUUUGAGCAGGUGGAAUGAAACUGAACAUGUCACCUUCGACAUAGUUUAUCAUCGCUCCAUCGGCCGGUUUGGUGGCAAUGAUCUUGGGAGGGGCCAGCACAGUGCAUUUUAUGUGUGGGAAGGCUUUGACAAUGGCCCUGGCACCCUUGUCAUCACCGAAGUUACCGCAGCAGUAGGUCAUGGACUGGAUCCCCUCGAACAAGUCCCUGAACUCCCGCAUAGCUAUCUCGAUGCCGAAGUUGUCGUGGGCGUCCAAGGCCUCGCUCGCCAUGUCGUGGAAAUCUGCGUCGAGGCUCCCCAUGCUCUCGUGGAACAGAGUCGCCCCGUGCAGCUCCUCGAACGGUGACGUGACCACGUCCCUCUUGAACCACUCCGCCAGCCCUAUCCCCGCCUCGAUGUAGCGCGUCGAGGUGCAGGUGAGCACCAGAGCGGUGUGGUUCAUGUGGUCCUCGUGAGGGAUGCCGUCCACCAGGAGGUAGGACACGGGGCUGAUGCGGUACCGCUCCUCCUCCGAGCUCUGCUUGUCGACGGUGAACACGCCCGACGCGGCGAGGAGCCGCAGCAGGCGGCGGAGGAACGGCAGCUUAGUGGAGGGGAGAGACAGCGCCGUGACCAGCUCAGCGGCUGAGGCAGCCCCGCCAUGGCGGUAGAUCGCCGUAGGGAUGCCAAGCUCCACGGCGCACCUCAGUGACAGGGGCGUGAGGUAGGAGAGGCUGAGCCGCCAUAUGUCGGCUUGUGCCUUUAGUAGCUCGGCGUCGCUAGGGCGGACAACCUCAGAAGCCAUUGCUAGAGUGCGCUUGUGCUUGUGUAUGUGUGUGCGCUGCGGAGCUACGUUGGGCAAUAGGUGAUUUAUAUAUACUCCAUGCGUCUCUCGGAACACACAAGAUGAGACUAGUCAAGUGUGCUCUCAGUUCGUAUGAUUGGUGUAAAGGAAAUUACUCCCACAAAACGAAGCCUUUUAAAAUUUUAUAUGUCUUAUUCCACUGUUCGUUUUAUUCAUUUUAUAUAAAUAUUAUUCAUUUUAUUACGACUUCUUUAUCAUUAUGUAUAUUUUAAAAUGACUUAUUUAUCAUUAUAUAUACUUUCAAAUGACUUAUUUAUUUUAUUAUUUAGAAAAAAAAUGGAUGAGACAAAUGACUACUAGUGUUGGUUUCCAAAACACCUAUUUGGCUAUUUUUACUUGAACCGCCGAUGUAAAAGGCCAGUAAAAAUUGUGAAUUACACAAAUUUCUUCUAGAGAACCUAGUGUAAAUAUUUAUGAUAUCUGUUUCCUUAAGGCAAUCAUUGCUAUAAUGUUUUUUUUCAGAAAUUACAAAUCGGACUAAAAAUGACAAAAGAAAUAGUCACAUGUCUUCAGCCUCGCUCGUUCCCCACUGAAUCACUCCCACAUGUUCACGUCGAUCCGGACGUCAAUCACUGCGUUAAGAACCGACGGUGGUGCUCUCUGCACAGGCGCGGACGGUCCGCGGCAAGGGGCCGAACGGUUCGCGACCUGAAGCAGGGCUAGGGUUCCCUGUCUAACGGGUCGGACGGUCCGCUCCUAUAGGCCGGACGGUCUGCGCGUGCGCAGGGGCGGCGGAGUUCGCCGACGGCGCCUGAAUCUCGCUCCCGAGAGAGACCCUGUCGGGGAGGAGAGAUUCUAGGUGUUGCCUAGGGACGACAGGCCACCCUAGAUACCUCUAAUCGACGUAGAGCCGAAGAGAAGCGAAGAAUUUGGGGGAUUGAGAGGCUAAACUAGAACUAAACUAGAACUACUCCUAAUGCAUAAGGUAAAAACGAGAGAUAAAUUGAUUAUUGAUUCGAUUGUUGAUCUUUAAUCGCCCGUAUUCCUUUGCAUAUAUAGAGGAGGGGGCUGGACCCGUUACAAACAAAUUCCCCGAGUUAAUUCCGCGAAUCUAGCCAACAACUGUAGCAAGAAACUCGGAACCCUAACUGGCUCUGCACGCGCGCGGACCGUCUGACUGCCUAUUUUGGCGCUCAACAUAUGCCCCCUGCCUUUUGGCGGAGCUGAGCGAGCCAAAAGAAACUAACAUGUUGCAAUCACAUCGGUUUCCUUAGGCAUCUUGCCACAUACUAGGAUGAUACUGCUUGAGAAAACGCCCGUUUAAUGCCUUGGGCAAGUCUUUGCCUUGUAAUGUUUGCAACAAGUAGGUGUUACCGGACAUCACCUGCGUGACUCUGUAAGGGCCUUCUUAGCUUGGCGACCACUUCCCAAACUUCCGGUCUUUGCUCCUCAGAGGCAGGACAGUCUUCCAUACCAAGUCUCCUACCUAGAACGAUUUAGCCUUGACCUUCUUGUUGUAAACUUUGGCGACCAUGAUCUUGUCCUUUUCUAUUUCUCCUAAGGUUGUCACUCUCUUGUCAGUCACUUCAUCAAUAUUGUCCAUUAUUGAAUUAUAAUAAUCAACGACAGUCAGAUCAUUUUGCUUGGCGAACCUGACAACAUUUAAACUUAUCUCUACAGGUAACACUGCUUACUGCCCAUAAACAAGCUCAAACAGAGAUACUUUAGUAGCACAGUGUUUAGAUAUUCUAUGAGACCAUAAAGCUUCGGACAAAAUGUUAUGCCAAUGCUUAGGAUGAUCAGAUAUCUUUUUUUAUCAUGCUAAUCAAUGUCCUAUUACUAGACUCGGCAUGUCCAUUGGCCUGAGCAUAAUACAGAGAUAAAUUGAGUUACUUAAUUCUAUAUAAUUCAGCAAACUCAUGUACCUCCUUUGACAUAAAAGAAGCCCCUUGGUCUAUAGUCAAAGUCUGGGGAAUGCCGAAUCUAUAAAUAAUAUGCUCAAUUAUGAACUCAAUUACCUCCCUAUGUGUCAUGUUUUUCAGAGUAACGGCUUUAGUCCAUUUGGUAAAGUAGUCAGUGACAACUAACACAAACCGAUGCCCUUUUGAUGAUGAAGGAUGAAUCUCUCCUAUAAAGUCCAAUCCUCAUCCUCUAAAAGGCCAAGGCUUGAUGAUAGGAUGUAAUUCGGCUACCGGGACCAACUGUAAGUCGUCGAAUUUUUGACAUACUUGGCAUCCUUUGUAGUACUUGAAACAAUCAGCUAUCAUUUUAGGCCAAUAGAAUCAGACCUUCGCAACAACCACUUCAUCUUCGGAGCCGAUUGAUGGGUACCACAAAUCCCUUCAUGUACUUCGGUCAUGGCUAAUAUAGCAUCACCUGGGCCCAAGCAUUUCAGCAGGACGUCGUUGACUGUUCGACGGUAGAGUUCAUCAUUCAUUAAAAUAUACUUGAAAGUUGUACGCCGAACGUUCCUAUCCGUCCUAACACUGGGAUUUCGUAGAUAAUUAAUUAUGGAUGUCCUCCAAUCGCUUGCAUCAGCUUCACUACCAGCCGAAUCAAUCAAGAGAACUUUCCUGGCAACCUCGGACGGUCUGAAGCCCUCACCCGAAUGGUCCGCGACCUAGGGAAUUGGCCCUGUACCGGUUACCAGAUUUUCGGUGUUGUAAAAUUUACCUUGCUUUAUCCGAUAUCCUGAUGCAUCUUGUGCCAAAUUGUUAGCUCUGUGAUUCUCAACUCUAGAGAUGUGUCGAAUACUGAAUUCGUCAAAAGAAUGAAUUAUUCCCCACCAUUUUUCAAGGUAACUGUUUAGAGUACCAUCAAAACAUUGAUACUCUUCUAAUACAUGUUGGACAACCAGUUGAGAAUCACCAAAUACCUUCACAUGUUUUACUCCCAUACAAUUUAAAAGUUCCAAGCCGAACAAAAGGGCAUCAUAUUCGGCUUGAUUGUUAGUGCAAUAAGUUUUCAAUCGGCUAGAGAAGUCGAAGGAGACAUUACUUGGUGAAACAAGCACGAUGUCGAUUAAUUGUCCUUUAUUGCAAACAGAUCCAUCAAAAUAUAAAGUCCAGGAUUAACAGUGAGGUAUGAUAUGUCUAGUUUAUGAGUAUCAUCAAUCCGAUGUUCUACAAUAAAAUCUGCUACGACCUGGCCUUUCAUAGAUUUCAAUGGUUCAUAGGCCAAGUCAUAUUCUAUGAGUGCAUAAUCCCAUUUACCAAUUCUACCACUCAUAAUCGGGUUUCGCAAUAUGUAUUUUAUCACAUCGGUUUGACCAGCAACGGUGCAAUGACUAGAUAGUAAAUAACAUCUACACUUGGUGCAUGCAUAAAACAGGCAUAAGCAUAACUUCUCAAUAAAAGUGUACCUCGUUUCGGCAUCCACCACUCUCCGACUUAGGUAGGUCACUACAUGCUCCUUUCCUUCAGUUUCUUGCGUCAGGACUACUCCAGUAACUUUAUCUUCAGCUGCAAUGUAUAAUCUGAAUGGUACUCGUACCUGUGGUGCUUUUAAUACGGGGGCCGAAGAUAAAUAUUUUCUAAUGAGAUCAAAUGCUUCCUGCUGCUCUGCCCCCCAUGUGAAUUCGGCAUCAUUUUAAGCCGAAGGAUGGGAUUCAAGGCAUCAAUUUUCCCAGUCAGAUUAUAAAUGAACCUUCGCAAAUAAUUUACCUUGCCGAGGAACUUUUGCAUUUCAAACUUACAGGUCGGAGGUCCCAUAUUCCGAUUGGAUUUAAUUCGGUCAAGGUCUAUCUCUAUACCAUUUUCAUGAAUGAUGAAUCCUAAGAACUUACCAGCGGACACUCCAAAAGCAUAUUUACGUGGGUUCAUUUUCAAACCAUAUUGACGCAUUUUAUCAAAGGCUUUGCGCAAAUUAGCUAUAUGAGAACUAAAUGCAACCGAUUUGACUACGAUAUCAUCAAUGUGGACUUUCACAGUGUUUCCCAACAUCUCGUGAAAGAUCAAAUUCAUAGCCCUCUGAUAAGUAGCACCAGCAUUUUCAGACCAAAUGUCAUGACAACCCACUCAAAUAAACCAAUGAAGCGUGGACAUAUAAAGGCCGUUUUAGACGCAUCUUCUUCGGCCAUGAAAAUAUGAUUAUAUCCAGCAUUACUAUCAAGAAAGCUAAUAAUUUUAUUUCUUGACGCAUUAUUGAUCAACUUGUCGGCUAUGGGCAUGAGAUAUUCAUCUUUAGGGGUUGCUCUAUUCAAAUUGCAAAAAUCAAUGCAUACUCUGAGCUUACCUGAUUCUUUCUUCUCCACCGGCACAAUAUUGGAGACCCACUCUGCGUAUCUGCAAGGUCUAAUAAAAUUAGCUUCUAGCAGCCGGUGAAUUUCAUCCUUUAUUCAUGGGAGAAGAUACGGACGAAAUGUUCUAGCUUUCUGCUUGAAAGGUCUAAAACCAUACUUCAUAGGCAGCCGAUGCUCUACUAUUUCUUGGCUUAAUCCCGGCAUCUCAGUGUAAUUCCAAGCAAAGCAAUCAGAAUAUUCUUUCAAUAGACCGAUCAUUUCAUCUCUAGGAUCGAUCUCCAGGGUCUUAUUCACAAAAGUCGGCCUUGGAGUUUUACCAUCUCCUAUAUCAAUCUCCUCCAAAGGACCCACCGAUGUAAACCCCUAUCCUAAUUUGUCGAGAUCUCUGAAUUCCUCUAUUAUGUCUCCCAUAGAGGAAUUAGAUGAUCUUUGUGCGACGGUGGACCGUCUGGUCUCGAGAGUUGGAUUGUCUGCAACAUGGUUUUAUGUUGUAGUGACUGCUCGGCCUUAAAAGCUAAACCGUUUUGUGACAGACCGGACCGUCAGAAGCCAGAUCGUCCACGACCAGGGACUCAUUCAUUCUAUGUGUACUUAUCAUUUAAACUUUAUUUAGGAUUUAGCCGAUUAUCCAUCGGCUUUAGCAUUACAGGAAUGAAACACAUUUUAUCUAUACUUAUGAACUGAUAAUUAGAAAAAUAUACUCCUGUGAGACACGUAGCAGUCUCAUAGGUCCAAAGUACAGGGGCAUCGACCACAGCGAUUCAGGCCGAUGCAUCAGCAUGUACUUGUUCUACAUCGUCGCCUACCCAUUGUAGUAACAUUUGAUGUAACGUAGAAGGUACACAAUGGUUAGCAUGAAUCCAAUCUCUGCCUAAGAUUAGACUGAAAUUUCCUUCUACAUUAGCAACGAAGAAUGCAGCAGCAAGGGUCUUAGUUCCGAUGGUUAACUCAACGGAUGUGACUCCCUUAGCUUUGAUCGAAUUAUCAGUUCCAACGCCACCGAGGGUCAUGUUGGUCUUGAUAAGUUCAUCAUCAUGUUUACCUAAUUUUCUGUACAAUGAAUAAGACAUUAGAUUUAUAGCCCCCCCGUCUACCAACAUUUUAGCAAUCGGUAUCCCAUCAAUGUGACCACGCACGAAGAGCGGCUUCAAAUGAUUUACUGAUUCCUUUGGUUUAGUGAAGGCGACUUCUUUAGGACCAAAGUCAAACUGAGCAACGACAGGUUCAUCGUCGCCGACAAUAGUACAAUUGGCGGAAAAUGUAAUAACAUUUACGUCCAUACCUGGGUGCUCUGGAGAAGCUUCGUAGUCGACCAGGUCUUCUCCCAGUAGGUCGUCCUCCUUCAUGGGCAUUGGCACGUGGUUGGAGGUGUCUUGGUGUAGUGUAGAUGGUCCGGACUCGAGAGUCGGACGGUCCAUGUCAUCUGUGGAUGGUCCGACCUUUAUAGCCGGACUGUCUGCCAUACCUGCAGAGAGCUGCGGAGUUGUUGUCUCAUUUCUUGUCUCUAUAGCCAUUUGACUUAUUUCAAUGACCUUGGGCCUCCAUCAAUUUUGUGGUGGUGGGUACUGAGGAUGUGUGUCAAUGAAUAUCUUUUCCGCCUCCUUUUCCUGGCUCUCCUUUGCUCUCAAGCAUUGUAAUUUUCGCUUUUGGGACCGUGUCAAUCCCGAUGGGCACCAUCGAGGCAUGGAGUAUUUUGGAUCAGCUAUUUUGAUGGCAGUCGUAUCUUCUUUUGUGUUGGCCGAUUCACCAAAAAUCAUCGACCCUUCAUUAUUUUCUUGUACGACGACAUCAGAUGUACCUAUUUUGAUGAUGUACUUUUUGUCGUUCUCUCGGUUGAUGUAGGUAUAUGCCUCCCUGCCGGAUUGGUCGGCCUUUGCGGCUGAGCAGUUCGGCAAUCUUGCUGGGCUUGUGCCUGGUGACCGGAUUGAGUGGCACUCAAUCGGUCCUAUACUGGAGGUGCCAACCUGUUGAAUACAGAUGCUUGGGGUGCCCCCCAAGCGGGGUACUAUGGCAUCCCAAAUGGAUAUGGUGGCAUACCCCACAUUUGAUUCGGGGCGUAUGGCAGCGGUACGUAUGUAUAUUGAUAUGACAUAGGUAGAUAUGUGGGUGGAGGUGUCCAUACAGGUAUGUUAGGUAUCAACUGGAUAGUAUGAGCUUCCGUAUUUUCCGAUUGGUAAGGUGCUCCAAUAGGUCUUACCUGUUGUUGCUCCUGAAUGGGUGCGCGAGGUCGCUUUGCUGGCCGGUCACUUGGGCUGGCCUUCUUUUUCACAUACAACAACAACAACAACAACAACAACAACAAUAACCACAAAGCCUUUUUGUCCCAAGCACGUUGGAGUAGGCUAGAUAUGAAACCCCAUAUGAAAACCUUAGAGCUCAACCCCCAAAGAAAAGAAAAGAAAAGGGAGACAAAGGCAAAGGAGAACCGAAAAACGACGAAACGGGAAAACACAUAAAAAGAGAUAAAACCCACAAGAACCAGCAAGAUCUAAAGGGGCACAAGAAAAGGUCAAACGAUUAAGGAGGAAAAGCGAAACUACAAAUCAGGGUUCUAGCACGUGAAUUGCACACUUCCACCCCUUCCUAUCCACGACGAGCUCUUUAUCAAUAUUCCACUCCUUCAGGUCCCUCUUCACAGCCUCUGUCCAUGUCAAGGUUGGUCGACCUCUACCUCUCUUCACAUUCUCGGGACGCCUAAUUAUUCUGAUAUGCACUGGUGCCACUUCAGGUCUUCGUUGGAUAUGUCCAAACCAUCUCAAACGAUGUUGCAUAAGCUUCUCCUCAAAUGGCGCCACUCCUACUCUCUCUCGUAUAUCAUCAUUCCGGACUCGAUCUCUCCUUGUGUGGCCACAUAUCCAGCGCAACAUAUGCAUCUCUGCCACACUUAGUUGUUGGACAUAUCAUCUUUUAGUGGGCCAACAUUCUGCUCCAUACAACAUAGCCGGCCGGAUUGCUGUCCUAUAGAAUUUGCCUUUUAGUUUGUGUGGCAUCCGGGGGUCGCAUAAGACACCCGCAGCUUGACGCCACUUCAACCAUCUAGCUUUAAUUCUAUGACUGACAUCCUCAUCGAUGUCUCCCUCCUUCUGAAGCAUUGAUCCUAAGUAACGAAAAGUGUCUUUCUUGGGUACCACUUGCCCAACAAGACUAACAUUGCCAUCCUCAUACCCCAUGGCACUGAAAUCACACUUCAUAUACUCUGUUUUAGACCUAUAAGCCUAAAACCUUUUGCUUCCAGCGUCUGCCUCCACAAUUCCAACUUUUGCGAAACACCACUCCUACUCUCCUCAAUAAGUACCACAUCAUCGGCAAAAAGCAUACACCAUGGUAUAUCUCCUUGUAUGUCCCUUGUGACCUCAUCUAUCACCAAAGCGAAAAGAUAAGGGCUCAAAGCCAACCCUUGAUGUAGUCCUAUGUCAAUUGGAAAGUCAGUAGUGUCUCCAUCACUUGUUCGGACAUUUGUCACAACAUUAGUGUACAUAUCUUUAAUAAGAUUAAUGUACUUUGUUGAUACUUUGUGUUUUUCCAAGGCCCACCACAUUACACUCCUAGGUACUUUGUCAUAAGCCUUCUCCAAGUCUAUGAAGACCAUAUGCAGGUAUUUCUUUUGUUCUCUGAAUCUCUCCAUAAGUUGUCUUAGUAAGAAAAUGGCCUCCAUAGUUGAUCUCCUAGGCAUGAAACCAAACUGAUUUUGGGUCACGCUCGUCAUCUUCCGCAGGCGGUGUUCAAUGACUCUCUCCCAUAGCUUCAUUGUAUGGCUCAUGAGCUUAAUUUCGCCGGCCUUGUUUUUCACAUACUUGGAUAAUAAUUGAUCGAAGGUCGGGCCAGAUUUGCCAGCCGACCAACCACGUUAAAUGUAUUAGUUUUCCAUGUACCUAUCUCUAGUCGUCGCGGUUUGAAGGUACAUGGUCGUUGCGGCCCUGAGUGUUGCCGGACCGUCCGCUAGAAUACUUUGGACCGUCCGGCAAUGCUUUGGACCGUCUGCGUCUGGACGUCGAACCGUCCGUGAUGCGCAGUAUGGGUUCUCGCACCUGUCCCCUUGUCUGCGCUUGCCCCCAGUGCCGGAGGUUGUGAUGGUCACCUUCACGGCCUCCCCUCCAUCAGGAGUCUUUUCGGCCACUACUUUCCUGCAAGAAAUUUUAUUAUUUUCAUCGGCCUUCCACGCGUCGCCGAUGAUGACUUCUUUGCCUUUUUCCUUAUCGGCUAUGCUGGGCCGAAUUAGGACCUUUUUGCCCUCGAAGUCAAUCACGUUCAUUGGAAAGGGCUCCGUGUCCACCUGCAUUUCCUGAAAUUUCAAUCGUCCCUCGUUAAUGGCCGAUUGGAUUUGCCGUCGAAGUACAUUACAAUCAUUAGUGGCAUGGGAAAAGGAGUUGUGCCACUUGCAAUAUGCGCGACAUUUUAGUUCGUCAGCGGGUGGAACAGUAUGAUUUAUCUUAAUGUUGCCAUUUUUGAGCAAUUCAUCGAAUAUCUUGUCACAUUUGCCAACAUUAAAUGUAAACUUAACCUCCUCUUAUGUUUUCUUUUGAACCGGCUGUAAGGAGGAACAAGCCGAAGAUUUAGCCUGUUUUGGCCAAAUCAUUUCAGCCGCGUAUACUACUUUUGAUUCGUCGUCCGAGCUACUUUGAUCACACUCUACUAUAUGGACGUUGUGACAAAUCGUUUUAGUAGUUUCUUUGCUUCGCUUUCACUAGCCAAAGCUCUCUAAUGUAAUUGUGCUAGUGUGAAAAACUGGAUGCCUUCUAAUCUUUCCUUUAAAUAAUAUCGCAGUCCAUUAAAGGCUAAUCCCGCUAGCUGUUUUUCUGCUAAAUGAAUUUGAAAGCAUCGGUUUCUUGUAUCCCAGAAUCUCCGGAUGUACUCAUUAACCGAUUCGUCUUUUCCCUGUCGCAGGGCCACUACGUCUACCAAAUCUAACUAGUCACCGGAAAAAAAGUGAUCAUGGAAUUUUUGUUCUAAAUCUCCCCAUGACAAAAUAGACUUAGGAGGUAAUGUGGCAUACCAUGUAAAUGCAGUUCCUGUUAACGAUAAUGAAAAUAAACGCACCCAGAAUGCCUCUGUGUCGGCCAGUUCUCCUAAUUGUGCUAUAAACGGGCCUAUGUGUUCGCGUGUGCUCUUUCCUUGGUCACCCGAAAAUUUUGCGAAUUCGGGUAUCAUGGUUCCCUUUGGGUAUGGGUGAUGGUCAAAUCAGCUGUCGUAAGGUCUCCGAUAUGACUGUCCCCUAGGGACCAUGCUUACUCAGAACGUCCUGACUAUUUCUUCCCUUACUAUAUCAAUAACAGCCGGCGGGAGACCACCGGCUCUUUGUCCCAUCAUAGGUGAGGUUGUUUGGACACUAGUUUGUUGUCUUCCCCCACCAUUGGUUUGAGUUAUGUGGUGCAUUACUAUUUGCCCUAUAUGGUUCAAAGGAUUGACCAUUCCUUUCCGGCCUUUUAAGUGGGGCCAGAAAGUACUCACCCCCAUGAGCUUGGGAUUCUGUAUUAAUGGGCUGAUGCAUUGUAUAGUGUGAUGGGAAGUGUUGCUGGGACAGGCGAGGAUUUAGGUAACAAUCCUCCUCAAUCAACCUUGUGCCGGACCGUCCGGUCGGAUAUGCGGACCGUCCGUGAUUAUAUGCGGAUGAUCUGUCUGGGUGGUUUAGGGCUUGUGUAACAUGUGGUGGCUCGGACGCAUAUCUCGAUAACUCAUUAAAAAUGGGACCGGCCGUUGCUGGCCCGGACGAUCCGCGCUCGCGUGCGGACGGUCCAGACAUGUGCAUAUUGGCUAAUUUACUGCCGAUGUGCGUAGGAGGUUGUGGUUGCUCAGGGUAUGUGUCCAUCGGCAUCCCAUAAAGGGGUUGUGACUCGUCGUGACAACCUGUAGCCGAUGAAUUACGUGUAUUUUCCACCAAUUGAACCUCGUGCGAAGAAAAAAUUGCAAAAGUGGAUUUAUCAAACGCACAUACUAGCCUUUUAUAAUCCUUUUGUAUGCCCCCUACGAUAUAUUGCAUUUGCUCUCGUUGUUCAUCUAUGUAAGCUUUAAGAGAUUGAAGCUCAUUGGUGUUACUUACAUUGGGGUUAUCCGUUAUGGGUCGGAGCGAAGCCAGAUUAGUCGUCCAUUGCCAAACGACCUUGUUGUUCCUGUCCACCUUGAAGUUGGCCAGGAACUUCGCCUUUGCUUCUUGGAUCAGCUGCUCCUUGUGCUCCUCGAACUGAAGCUAUUCUUCAGCCGGUAAGGUCUCCCAAGUCGGCUCUAUGAGAUUGCUGAGGGAGACGUUACAGUUAUCCCUUGAACUGACCAUUGAGGGCCGAUCUGAUGGGUCUAUAUGUGGUGUCCCCAACGGAGUCGCCAAAAAGUGUGUUGAACCAGUGGUGGUGCUCUCGGCACAGACGUGGACGGUCCGCGGCCAGGGGCCGGACGGUCCGCGACCUGGAGCAGGGCUAGGGUUCCCUUCCUAACGGACCGGACUGUCCGCGCUUAUAGGCCGGACGGUCCGCGCGUGCGUAGGGGCGGUGGAGUUCGCCGACGGCGCCUGAAUCUCGCUCCCGGGAGGGACCCAGUCGGGGAGGAGAGAUUCUAGGUGCUGUCUAGGGUCGGCAGGUCACCCUAGACACCUCUAAUCGACGUAGAGCCGAAGAGAAGCGAAGAAUUGGAAGAUUGAGAGGCUAAACUACAACUAAACUAGAACUACUCCUAAUGCAUAAGGUAAAAACGAGAGAUAAACUGAUUAUUGAUUCGAUUGUUGAUCUUUAAUCGGUCGUAUUCCUUUGUAUUUAUAGAGGAGGGGGCUAGACCCGUUACAAACAAAUUCCCCGAGUUAAUUCCGCGAAUCUAGCCAACAACUGUAGCAAAAAACUCGGAACCCUAACUAGCUCUGCGCGCGCGGACCAUCUGGAUCACUAGUGCGUACCGUCCGGGCCCCGGGACCUGACAGUCCGACUGCCUAUUUUGGCGCCAAACACCAUCCAUGAGAUUAUCAAGUUCAUUUACAAUAUUCGUCCAACACAUGUUAUCUUAAUUCGAUCUUUAAAUGAGUAUUUGAAUCAGCUACAAAGAUUUGUAACUUUUCGAGAACUAUAGCUUUGAUUUUGGUGCUUUCUCAGUCUGAGUCGUUUGAAUACUUUGAUCUUUAAAUGUGAGAGGUUCAAACAUAAUUUUUGCUGCCUAAAUAAUUUCGAAUGACAAAGUUCUGAAGUACAAAUUCUAUUUAGAUGAUGGCACUCACGGCCAACUAUUUUCUGUCCGUUUAAAAAAAAUCGUCUUCUGUUUACAUUUUCUUAAAUUUGGUAUAUUUAAAACAUCACAAUAUUUAUAUCUUACAAUGAAAUUAUUAAAAAAUAUUCAGUGACGUAUUAAUGAUUCUAAUUAUGCAUCAUAAAUAUUUUGUAUAUAUGUUGGGCCAAAGUUGUAAAUGUUUGACAUUUUUGGACAAACCUUAGACUAUCGAAUUGCUUUCUUGUCUAGAGAGAGAAUACAUAUUCUAUCUCGCUUUGCUACUCUGAUUGUGUAGGAGCUAGCAAAGCUGUCAAAUCAUCUCCUUUAUGGGCGUAAAUUGUAAAGAUUUGUUCUAACCAUCCUAUCAAAACUAAGGCGUACUGAUUCAGAUAUAUUUUUCGAAUAUCUAAACAUUUUUUCAGAUACUGAAUACCGAUUCAGAUAAUUUUUUCUAAUAUCAGAUACCAAUAUAAGGAUUAGAGGUGGAUAACGAACCAGCUCGGCUCGUCUCGUCCGAGUUCGAGCUGGCUCGUUAAGCUAACGAGCCAGCUCGACUCGGCUCGUUAAGUUAACGAGCUACAGAGUCAGCUUGGCUCGGCUCGUUUACGAGCUCGAGCUGACUCGUUUAGCUCGCGAUCCAGAGCAGGAAAAAAUAGUAUGUACAUAAUAUUUAAUUUUUAGUUAAUUUCAAACUAAUUUAACAAUAGAAAAUAAUAUUUAUACUCAUAGUUUCACAAACCACGUCAAUGUAACACCAAUUUAGCACAAUUAUCACUCAUCGAUUCACAAUUCACAUACAUGUUCAUAAGUUCAACCCACAAUUAUAUUUGCAUAGAACAAUUGAACACAUAGACAUAGUUCAUUAAUCAUUAGUUUAACUCAUAGGCCAUAGACACAUCACAUACAUAUAACAUGUUUAUCAAUUAUUCCAUAAAUAAUAUGUAUAUAGUUUCGUUUUGCUGGAAUGUGGUAGCUCGUUUAGCACAUGAGCUGGCUCGUUAACUAACCGAGCUAGGAUGUCAACUCAGCUCGUGAAAAAAUUUAAACGAGCCGAGCCGAGUCGAGCUAAGAUUAUCAUGAACCGAGCGAGCCAAUGAGCCACGAGCAUUUCGUCCAGUCCUAAUAAGGACAAUGUUAUCCAUGGCAUACUAGAUAUCUAGUCAAAGCAUUCAGUCAAAUAUUAUAUUUGAAUUGUUCUUUUGAAUAUUUGUUGGCUCUCAUUUGGACAUCAAUUGUCGACUCGAUCACAAAGGGAAGACCAUACUUUUUAUCAUGCUAAUCCUACACAGAACACAGGUCCUCGACUCUUGCAGCAUUCACCGGUGAGGGGUCCACAAGCGAGGGGGCCUUCGAUCCAGUGAACAACCGCCCCAUGUCGACAGAAGCUGAGGCCUUCGCCAGUACGCCGACAAAAGAAUUUCCAUCAUUCGGUCAGGCACCACGGAGGGAGAAAUGAUGCAAAGGCUCUCGGAACGAAGGCUACGAGUCGAACCUGUACGCCACCGGGUCCAAUAGAAGACGUCUCGUAGGGUCCACGUGUCAGCGAAGCGUGCGGGUGCGUUAUCUGGUGUGCACCGUUUAUUGUACGAACAAUAAUGUAAUUAAUCUGUUACACGAGAUAUUCCUUGAAUAUGGUUGGUAUCCAAGGGUAGAGUCGUACUUUAGACCACCUACCCCAGACAGGCCUAUAAAUAUCUUGUCCUAUAGCGGGAUGUAACACGCAUAACGAGAAGCUAUAGUUCCCUACCAUUUAUGUUGUCGCGAGAUCCCACCUACUUUCUGAGUGUUUGGGUCCAUCUGACAGUGCCCCCGCGUGUGUUAGUGUCCAACAUUUGGCGUCCACCGUUCGUGCGACGAAGACAACAUCCACGAUGCCUUCCAAGAAAAACACACGUCCUAGCUCUCCCCAUCAAAUAACGAAGACGUCAGGGCCGCCAUUGCCGCCAAGAAAUGCAAGGUCACCUUCGCCACUGAAAAUGAUAUAGAGGAAAGGUCUGGACCUGUUACAAGUCCAUUCCUAAGCUAAUCUCAUAGGUUUUCCUAACAAAUCCUGCAAGAAAUCUAGAACCCUAAUUGAUUCUGCGCACGCACGGACCGUCCGUGCCACUAUCAUGGACAGUCCAGACUGCGGAACGUCCGGGCUCAGGUCUGGACCGUCCGCCAGGACACAAACGGUGCUCAACAAUAUCCAUCAAUCCAUCAUGUGCUCACUAGCUGCAAGCCAAAGAUGAAUAGAUUGUGUAGUUUGGUUAUAUUUUUAGAGUAUAUACACGACGUAUGUAUGAGGUAUGUGUUCGUCCCUUGUUCUAAAUUGUUGUGGAUCAAGAGCAAGGCAACACAUUUGUUAUAUGUUAAAGACUUUCGUCCUUCGAAGCAUUAUCCCCCUUAGAGAUAACGAGUCUUAGACAAAGGCCAUGAAGAACAAGUCUUCAUAAUUCACAAAAAUAAAAACAUAAUUAUAAAUGCAAUAUUAUCUCACGUAUUUAUAUCAAAACGAAUGUAUUGAUACUAUCAAAGUUUGUAUUGCAUUGAUACCUUCGGCUUGUUUGAAGGUAAUGAUGUGAGUACAAUCUCAAUCCAGCGUGAACAGUACGGGGUACUGUUCAUCUAUUUAUAGGCAAUCGUACAGCUUCGUAUGCUAUUAGUAUUACAUUCUUACCCUCAACAAUUACAUACAAGGUUUACAAAUGUCACAGGGACAACAUUGUCAUUUGUACUCAACAACUUGAACGACACCUUCUCCUUAUGUCGCCUUCCUGCUUCAUCGUGACGAAGCUCGCUUCAUCAUACUUCCCUUGAUCUAUGUCGAAGCUUUUCUGGUGACGAAGCUCCUGUAAUACUUAAUAAUAUGCUAAAAACAAAUAGUUAGCCGUGUUUUUGAGGAUCUUUAGAAGAUGAAGGCCCCCAAGAGUAGCCCCUCGUAGUAUUAGUUUGUUCCUUUGUAACAAAUUCAAACUGCGAAAUGAAGGAAGGCUUUUAGUCGAAGGUCCGAAAAACACCUUCCCUCCGCUAGAAUAGCGAAACCUUCUGUAUCGUGGGGACCAUCGUGCAGUGGUGCUCUGCAUAUAUAUAUAUGAGGGUUGCGAUAAAAAUAUUUUUCGUGCUAUCAAGCUUGUGUUGGGUUUGACAUUUUAGCUUUCUGUUUCUACAACCGUGAUUGCUUUAGAGUUUUGGCUUUUUGUUUCAAUCAGCGCUGAGAUGGCCAAAGACAAGAGAAGUGAGGACCGUGCACUGGCUAUGGAAAGAACCAAUGUUGAAAAUAUUAGUGAUGACAUUUUAGCUGGGUUGUCUGGAGAUUCUAGUGAAAGUGAUGAUUUUGAUGUUGAGAGUGACAAUGAUGAAGCCGAAGAUCGGCCUUGAAGGCCUAGUCAUGUUGUGUUUGGAAAAUCCACUAUUAAGAGAGGACAGAUUGAAGCAAUGAAGGGUAAAUAUUUUCGUGAUACAACUAUAGUGAGGGUCGAAGGAGAGAACACUGUUCCUCUUCCUGAAGUAGAUGAAGUGGUUGUUUACAAGGGUUUUAUGAAGAAUGGCCUUCAGUUUCCUUUGCAUAAAAUGCUAGUCGAAGUACUUAAAAGAUUCGAGAUAUAUCUUCGUCAACUCACCCCUGAAGCAUUGAUUAAAAUCGUGGUUUUCAUAUGGGCAAUGAGGAGCCAGGGGUUGGAACCAGACGUUGACUGCUUUUGUAAUAUACAUGAAUUAUCUUAUUAUACGAAGGCGAUGGGGAAAGAGAAAUAUCACUACAAUUUUGGUUGUUAUUCCUUCGUAUACCGCUCUGAUGUGAGACGCCCUGUCCCAACAUUUCAGAAGAAAUGGCUAGGAUCUUGGAUGAGGCUGUGGUUUUAUGUUAAGAGUGAUUUGGUUGAGAGGGAGGAUGUGAAAGGUAUAAUUUAGUGUCCGAUACAAUCACGCUUCGGCAUCCAAAGGCCCUCGAUCGUGAAUAGUGAUAAGGCUCAAGGCUGCCUGGUAGCCUUCAACACUAUGUGCAGCUACAUUGGCACCAGAGACUUGGUCCAAGAGCACAUAACAUUAAAGGUAUGGCCCCUUGUUAAUGAAUGGGAAAUAUCAAAGGAGACCACAGACAGUUCAAGCAAAGAUGGCCUGGUUUACCUAAAAUAUUCCUAUCACUAUAGAAGUCAGUUUGGGGAGCCAGAUGAUGAAUGGAUUGAGGCCAUUGAGGCAACUAGUAAUGAUUUGUUGGGAGCAUAUACGAAAGCUGAAGAUGAAGCUAUGAAUAUCGCCUUCGGUGCUCGUGGAAAGAAAAGGUUGAUUAGAGUAUUCGAUGUCAUCGAUUUUGUUUAUCCUGAUUACUGCUUUCCGGCUCGGAAGAAAGGGGCGAAAAGAAAAAUUGCAUCAACGACCCCCUCUACUGCGCCGAAACCAAAGAAAAUGAAAGUUGUAACUCACCGGCCGAAGUCGUAUUUUUUGGAGAGGGCUGCUUUACUGCCUGCUGCAGGGAGUUCGAAGAUAGAGAUUGUUGAGUCUACCGUAGAUGCCUUCUCAGCUUCGGAGGUAAUACUUUUUUCUUUUUCCUUGCUUUAAAUUGAGGAGAAUUUAAUCUAAUGUUGUUUUUGGAAUUUUUGGAACAGACAAUGAAAAUACCCGCUGCAGCAGUCAAAGCUCCCACCAUUCGUUUGGAGGAGACAAUAACAGAGAGUUCUAAGACCGAACAGCAGCCGCAACUGCAGAGUCCUCCAGUAAUGCCAGGGUUGUUAAGGACAGCAACCAUUCCAGCGGCGACUCCUAGGAAAGGGAGUAGGAUGGCCAGCGUUCUAAACGCUAUUCUGAGGCCUUUGAAGAUAGCUACUCUUGCCCAUGCUAAGAUGGCCAAAUAUGAAACUGAAGAGUUGGAAAAAUUUAUCGACAUAGGCGUUGCUCCUGGACCUUCGGAAGUUAGGUCAACAGAGCAAGUAAAGGAGAGUCUGCCAGAGAAGUUAUCGCUGCUGAUACCCGAAGCGGCGUCGACCGAAGAUCUUGAUUUUAUUAUCCGUCACGCUUAGGGAAAGCAACUAACACAGAGGCAAAUUGCCGAGGCCCAACAUUACGCUAAGGAACUCAAGUAUCCUCAAGGGUCCCUAGUUUACGAACGUGAUGAAGAGAAUGAUUUCUAUACUGCCUUCCUGACAGCAAAGAUAUUGAUGUCUACCGAGAGAUGAUGGAUAACAUGGGCUACUCGAAGCUUGAGCUCGGGCUGUCCUUAAUGCCGAAGGACCAUCUGGCAAACUGCUUGGCUUAAAAUAGCUUGAAGGUUGUUCUUAAUUUGCUAAUUAAAGUAUUUUACUUGUGUUAGCACAUGGCAAAUGUUUUAAUUAAAGUAUUUACUUGUUUUCUUUUUUGUCAUUAUUAGGGUCUUAUUUUAAGCAAAGUUUUAAAAGCACAAAAAGAUUGCGAAGAUGAGAGCACGAAAAUAGCCUUCGCGAAUUUGCGCUCGGAGAUUAUAACUCUUCGGAAUGAGGCACUUGAAAAAGAUAAAAUCCUGCUUUCUUUGGUCGAAAGAUUAAAAACAAGCGAAGCUAAUUUGGCCAAACUAUCUGAAGUGGUCGAAAAGAUUCUAAAAUUUGAGAAAGAAAAAGAAACAGAUGCAAAACGUAUAGCUGAUCUAGAAUAUGCUUUAUCUAUUCAAGUGGGAUUACAUAGAUCUGAAGUAGCAGGACUGGAAAAGAAGCUUGAUGAAGUUACUGAAAACUUCAACAUUGAGCAAUCGAAAUGUGAGAUAUCCUACUCUGAAUGAUUGAGGGUUCAAAAGAAUGUUGAAGAGCUUCGUCAAGCGAAGGAGGAGUGCUAUUUAUUUGCUAUGAAAUGCUCAAACAGGUUGAAAAAUGUUUUUAUUAUUGUUGGUGCAUUCUCGGUUGAGCAAAAUUUCAUUCGUGGUGAUCCCGAGGGUGUGAUCAAAUCGAUUUAGAGCAAAGUCGAAGUAUUUGAUGAAGUUCUAACUGGCAUGGGAGAUUUCUAUGCAUGCGUAGGGGCUCGGGGGGCUCUAUCACUGCUUGAAAAAACUGGUUGUGAACAUGCUAAGGCUGUAAUUCAGCCAGACAUCUUAGUUUCAGCGACUGACAUCAAAGAGCCUUCAGCCGAAGCUACUGCCCUUUGUGUUAAAUUAUAUUAUGGAGUGUGGAUGAACGACGGUCGAGAAAUUGUAGACAAAGCCAUCAGGCGAAAUGAAGAAGAGUCUCAUCUUGCCUCAGAAGAAGCAAGAAAAGCUGAAGAGGCCGCUGAGCGCGAAAGAUGUAUAGGUACGUUUGUCAUAUUUUAGCUUCAUAAGUAUAUUAACUUCGUAAGUAUUUUAGCUUCUUACAUGAGAAAAUCUUAUAUUUUGGUGUAGCUGAACUGUCUCCUCCUCCAGAGCCAUAUAACCCUAACGCCGAUCCAGCCCUGAAGGGUACUCUUGAUGAAAUCAGAAUAGCGAAUGCAGUAAUUGAUGAAGCUGUAAAUAGACUUCUAAACGAAGAUGUUGAGAGAGUCUUGAAGGAGGAUGAUUAGACUAUGUAUAAAAACAAUUACAGAAUUCUAUAUGCUGUUUUUUGUGUAAAAAACAAUUGCAAACUAUGUGUCUCAUGAUGUAAAUAUUUCUUUGUGUAGGGUGAAACUGUCACACAUACUAUUUUUAAGCCGAAGGUGAAAAAACACCUUCCCUUCUUUUCACGCUUUAUAAAGAAAAAUCCUUUUUCGUCGAAGUGACAUUAUUAAUCUCGAAGGUCUUACAUAAGGAAUACCGUUGUCGAGGUGACAGUAUUAGUCCCGAAGGCCUUGUUGUAGGUCUUGUAUGAGGAAUUCUUUACC
rnacentral:lncRNA from 1 species